CUACGGAGGGUGCAAGCGUUACUCGGAAUCACUGGGCGUAAAGCGCGCGCAGGCGGCUAUUUAAGUUGGAUGUGAAAGCCUACGGCUCAACCGUAGAACUGCAUCCAAAACUAUUUAGCUAGAGUGUGGGAGAGGAAGAUGGAAUUAGUUGUGUAGGGGUAAAAUCCGUAGAGAUAACUAGGAAUACCAAAAGCGAAGGCAGUCUUCUGGAACACUACUGACGCUGAGGCGCGAAAGCGUGGGGAGCAAACGGGAUUAGAUACCCUAGUAGUCC
rnacentral:rRNA from 1 species